AUCGAUGAAGAACGCAGCGAAACGCGAAAGGUAAUGCGAAUUGCAGAAUCAGUGAGUCAUCGAAUCUUUGAACGCACAUUGCGCCUCUCGGUAUUCCGGGAGGCACGCCUGUUCGAGCGCCAUUACACACUCCAAGCUCUGCUUGAUGUUGGACGCUGCGGAACCCCUUCGAGGGGGCUGCACGUCUGGAACACGUGGGCGUCCGGCCUGUCGAGAAACCGCGAGCGUAGCAAGACACAAAUUUUGUCAUUCGCUCUGUCGGACCUCCAGCGGACGGUUUGUGGUCAAGAAUUCUCAAUUCUGUCCACCAUCAUAAAGUUUGGCCUCGGAUCAGGCGGGGAUACCCGCUGAACUUAAGCAUAUCAAUAAGCGGAGGAAAAGAAACCAACAGGGAUUGCCCCAGUAACGGCGAGUGAAGCGGCAACAGCUCAAAUUUGAAAUCUGGCGUCUUGGGCGUCCGAGUUGUAAUUUGUAGAGGGAGCCUCGGGUUAAGGGUCGGUCCAAGUGCCUUGGAACAGGAUACCGCAGAGGGUGAGAGUCCCGUAUCCGGCCGACGCCUGCGCCCGUGUGAGGCCUCUUCGACGAGUCGAGUUGUUUGGGAAUGCAGCUCUAAAUGGGUGGUAAAUUCCAUCUAAAGCUAAAUACCGGCCAGAGACCGAUAGCGCACAAGUAGAGUGAUCGAAAGAUGAAAAGCACUUUGAAAAGAGAGUCAAACAGUACGUGAAAUUGUUGAAAGGGAAGCGUAUGUGGGCAGACUUGGCCGUGGGAUUCAGCCCGUCUUCUGGCGGGUGUACUUUCUCACGGACAGGCCAGCAUCGGUUCUGGGGGUCGGACAAAGGCAGCGGGAAUGUGGCUCCCCUCGGGGAGUGUUAUAGCCCGUUGUGCAAUGCGGCCACCUGGGACCGAGGACCGCGCUUCGGCAAGGAUGCUGGCGUAAUGGCCUCAUACGGCCCGUCUUGAAACACGG
rnacentral:rRNA from 1 species